ACGGGGGGAGCAAGCGUUGUUCGGAUUUACUGGGCGUAAAGGGCGCGUAGGCGGUCAGCACAAGUCAGUUGUGAAAUCUCCGAGCUUAACUCGGAAAGGUCAACUGAUACUGUGCGACUAGAGUGCAGAAGGGGCAACUGGAAUUCUCGGUGUAGCGGUGAAAUGCGUAGAUAUUGGGAGGAACACCUGAGGCGAAAGCGGCCAUCUGGGACAUUCCUGACACUGAGGUUCGAAAGCUCGGGGAGCAAACAGGA
rnacentral:rRNA from 1 species